CCUACGGGUGGCAGCAGUGGGGAAUAUUGGGCAAUGGGCGCAAGCCUGACCCAGCAACGCCGCGUGAAGGAAGAAGGCUUUCGGGUUGUAAACUUCUUUUCUCAGGGACGAAGCAAGUGACGGUACCUGAGGAAUAAGCCACGGCUAACUACGUGCCAGCAGCCGCGGUAAUACGUAGGUGGCAAGCGUUAUACGGAUUUACUGGGUGUAAAGGGCGGGUAGGCGGGACUGCAAGUCAGAGGUGAAAGCCACGGGCUCAACCUGUGGCCUGCAUUUGAAACUGUAGUUCUUGAGUACUGGAGAGGAAGACGGAAUUCCUGGUGUAGGGGUGAAAUGCGUAGAUAUUAGGAGGAACACCAGUGGCGAAGGCGGUCUGCUGGACAGCAACUGACGCUGAGGAGCGAAAGCGUGGGGAGCAAACAGGAUUAGAUACCCCUGUAGUC
rnacentral:rRNA from 1 species